AGCGCACACGGUGGAUGCCUAGGCGGUCAGAGGCGAUGAAGGACGUGGUAGCCUGCGAAAAGUGUCGGGGAGCUGGCAACAAGCUUUGAUCCGGCAAUAUCCGAAUGGGGAAACCCACUGCUUCGGCAGUAUCCUGCAGUGAAUUCAUAGCUGCUGGAAGCGAACCCGGUGAACUGAAAUAUCUAAGUAACCGGAGGAAAAGAAAUCAACCGAGAUUCCCUAAGUAGUGACGAGCGAACGGGGAGCAGCCCUUAAGCUGGAAUGGCUUUAGAAAAACAAUCUGGAAAGAUUGGCCAUAGAAGGUGAUAGCCCUGUAUUUAAAAGGGCCACUCCAGUGAAGACGAGUAGGGCGGGGCACGUGAAACCCUGUCUGAAUAUGGGGGGACCAUCCUCCAAGGCUAAAUACUCCUGACCGACCGAUAGUGAACCAGUACCGUGAGGGAAAGGCGAAAAGAACCCCGGAGAGGGGAGUGAAAUAGAUCCUGAAACCGUGUGCGUACAAGCAGUAGGAGCUCGCAAGAGUGACUGCGUACCUUUUGUAUAAUGGGUCAGCGACUUACUGUUCGUGGCAAGCUUAACCGUAUAGGGGAGGCGAAGGGAAACCGAGUCUGAUAAGGGCGCAUAGUCGCGGGCAGUAGACCCGAAACCGGGUGAUCUAGUCAUGGCCAGGGUGAAGGUGCCGUAACAGGUACUGGAGGCCCGAACCCACGUCUGUUGCAAAAGACGGGGAUGAGCUGUGAUUAGGAGUGAAAAGCUAAUCGAACCCGGAGAUAGCUGGUUCUCCUCGAAAGCUAUUUAGGUAGCGCCUCGGACGAAUACUACUGGGGGUAGAGCACUGUUAUGGCUAGGGGGUCAUCGCGACUUACCAAACCAUUGCAAACUCCGAAUACCAGUACGUACUAUCCGGGAGACACACGGCGGGGGCUAACGUCCGUCGUGAAAAGGGAAACAACCCAGACCCACAGCUAAGGUCCCAAAUUCACUGCUAAGUGGAAAACGAUGUGGAAAGGCAUAGACAGCCAGGAGGUUGGCUUAGAAGCAGCCACCCUUUAAAGAAAGCGUAAUAGCUCACUGGUCGAGUCGGUCUGCGCGGAAGAUUUAACGGGGCUAAGCAGUGAACCGAAGCUUGGGGUGCAUAAAACUUGUUUUAUGCGCGGUAGAGGAGCGUUCCGUAAGCCUGCGAAGGUGGAUUGAGAAGUCUGCUGGAGGUAUCGGAAGUGCGAAUGCUGACAUGAGUAACGAUAAUGCGGGUGAAAAGCCCGCACGCCGAAAGCCCAAGGUUUCCUUGCGCAACGUUAAUCGACGCAGGGUUAGUCGGUCCCUAAGGCGAGGGCGAAAGCCGUAGUCGAUGGGAAGCAGGUUAAUAUUCCUGCACCUCGCGUGAGUGCGAUGGAGGGACGGAGAAGGUUAGGUGUACCGGGCGUUGGUUGUCCCGGGGAAAGGCGGUAGGUUUGGAUCUUUGGCAAAUCCGGGAUCCUUUAAGACCGAGCACCGAGACGAGCCUUUAUGGCAAAGUCACUGAUACCACGCUUCCAGGAAAAGCUCCUAAGCUUCAGCUCACGAAGACCGUACCGUAAACCGACACAGGUGGGUAGGAUGAGAAUUCUCAGGCGCUUGAGAGAACUCGGGUGAAGGAACUAGGCAACAUGGCACCGUAACUUCGGGAGAAGGUGCACCCUUUUUGGUGGCUCAUGCGAGCUAUAGCUGAAGAGGGUCGCAGAAACCAGGCCGCUGCGACUGUUUAUCAAAAACACAGCACUCUGCAAACACGAAAGUGGACGUAUAGGGUGUGACGCCUGCCCGGUGCUGGAAGGUUAAUUGAUGGGGUCAGCCGCAAGGCGAAGCUCUUGAUCGAAGCCCCAGUAAACGGCGGCCGUAACUAUAACGGUCCUAAGGUAGCGAAAUUCCUUGUCGGGUAAGUUCCGACCUGCACGAAUGGCGUAACGACAGCGGCGCUGUCUCCACCCGAGACUCAGUGAAAUUGAAAUCGCUGUGAAGAUGCAGCGUUCCCGUGGCAAGACGGAAAGACCCCGUGAACCUUUACUAUAGCUUUACACUGAACGUUGAGUUCGUCUGUGUAGGAUAGGUGGGAGGCUAUGAAACUGUGGCGCUAGCUGCAGUGGAGCCAUCCUUGAAAUACCACCCUGUCGUGCUUGACGUUCUAACCUAGAUCCGUUAUCCGGAUCAGGGACCGUGUAUGGUGGGUAGUUUGACUGGGGCGGUCUCCUCCUAAAGAGUAACGGAGGAGCACGAAGGUACGCUCAGCGCGGUCGGACAUCGCGCACUGUGUGCAAAGGCAUAAGCGUGCUUGACUGCAAGAUCGACGGAUCAAGCAGGUACGAAAGUAGGUCUUAGUGAUCCGGUGGUUCUGUAUGGAAGGGCCAUCGCUCAACGGAUAAAAGGUACUCCGGGGAUAACAGGCUGAUACCGCCCAAGAGUUCAUAUCGACGGCGGUGUUUGGCACCUCGAUGUCGGCUCAUCACAUCCUGGGGCUGUAGUCGGUCCCAAGGGUAUGGCUGUUCGCCAUUUAAAGUGGUACGCGAGCUGGGUUCAGAACGUCGUGAGACAGUUCGGUCCCUAUCUGCCAUGGGCGUUGGAAGUUUGAGAGGGGCUGCUCCUAGUACGAGAGGACCGGAGUGGACGAACCUCUGGUGUUCCGGUUGUCACGCCAGUGGCAUUGCCGGGUAGCUAUGUUCGGAAGCGAUAACCGCUGAAAGCAUCUAAGCGGGAAGCGCGCCUCAAGAUGAGACUUCCCGGGGCACAAGCCCCCUAAAGGAACCAUAUAGACUAUGUGGUUGAUAGGUCAGGUGUGUAAGUACAGCAAUGUAUUGAGCUAACUGAUACUAAUGAUCCGUGCGGCUUGACC
rnacentral:rRNA from 1 species